UACGUAGGGUGCAAGCGUUAAUCGGAAUUACUGGGCGUAAAGCGUGCGCAGGCGGUUAUGUAAGACAGAUGUGAAAUGCCCGGGCUUAACCUGGGAACUGCAUUUGUGACUGCAUGGCUAGAGUUUGGCAGAGGGGGGUAGAAUUCCACGUGUAGCAGUGAAAUGCGUAGAUAUGUGGAGGAACACCGAUGGCGAAGGCAGCCCCCCUGGGUCAAGACUGACGCUCAUGCACGAAAGCGUGGGGAGCGAACAGG
rnacentral:rRNA from 1 species